GAUGAAGAACGCAGCGAAAUGCGAUAAGUAAUGUGAAUUGCAGAAUUCAGUGAAUCAUCGAAUCUUUGAACGCACAUUGCGCCCGUCAGUAUUCUGGCGGGCAUGCCUGUUCGAGCGUCAUUACGCCCCUCAAGUCCCCUGUGGACUUGGUGUUGGGGAUCGGCGAGGCUGGUUUUCCAGCACAGCCGUCCCUUAAAUUAAUUGGCGGUCUCGCCGUGGCCCUCCUCUGCGCAGUAGUAAAACACUCGCAACAGGAGCCCGGCGCGGUCCACUGCCGUAAAACCCCCCAACUUUUUAUAGUUGACCUCGGAUCAGGUAGGGCUACCCGCUGAACUUAAGCAUAUCAAUAAGCGGAGGA
rnacentral:misc_RNA from 1 species